rnacentral:rRNA from 1 species
AGAGUUUGAUCCUGGCUCAGGACGAACGCUGGCGGCGUGCUUAACACAUGCAAGUCGAACGGGGUUUUUGGAAGCUUGCUUUUAAAAACCUAGUGGCAAACGGGUGAGUAACGCGUAGACAACCUACCGCAUAGUUGGGGACAACAGCUCGAAAGAGCUGCUAAUACCGAAUGUUGCAUUUUUCUCGCAUGAGAGAAAUGUUAAAGAUGGCCUCUACUUGUAAGCUAUCGCUGUGCGAUGGGUCUGCGUCUGAUUAGCUAGUUGGCGAGGUAAUGGCUCACCAAGGCGACGAUCAGUAGCCGAUCUGAGAGGAUGACCGGCCACAUUGGGACUGAGACACGGCCCAGACUCCUACGGGAGGCAGCAGUGGGGAAUUUUCCGCAAUGGACGAAAGUCUGACGGAGCAACGCCGCGUGAGUGAAGAAGGGUUUCGACUCGUAAAGCUCUUUUGUUUUAGACGAACGAUACGGAUGUGAAUAAUGUCCGUAAGCGACGGUAUAAAACGAAUAAGCCACGGCUAACUACGUGCCAGCAGCCGCGGUAAUACGUAGGUGGCGAGCGUUGUCCGGAAUUAUUGGGCGUAAAGGGAGCGUAGGCGGAUAUGUAAGUUCUUCUUAAAAGUGCGGGGCUUAACCCCGUGAUGGGGAGAAAACUAUAUAUCUUGAGUACCGGAGAGGAAAGCGGAAUUCCCAGUGUAGCGGUGAAAUGCGUAGAUAUUGGGAGGAACACCAGUGGCGAAGGCGGCUUUCUGGACGGCAACUGACGCUGAGGCUCGAAAGCUAGGGUAGCGAACGGGAUUAGAUACCCCGGUAGUCCUAGCCGUAAACGAUGGAUACUAGGUGUGGGGAGUAUCAACUCUUCCCGUGCCGGAGUUAACGCAAUAAGUAUCCCGCCUGGGGAGUACGGUCGCAAGACUGAAACUCAAAGGAAUUGACGG